CAGUCGCCGCGGUAAUACGUAGGGUGCGAGCGUUAAUCGGAAUUACUGGGCGUAAAGCGGGCGCAGACGGUUACUUAAGCAGGAUGUGAAAUCCCCGGGCUCAACCUGGGAACUGCGUUCUGAACUGGGUGACUAGAGUGUGUCAGAGGGAGGUAGAAUUCCACGUGUAGCAGUGAAAUGCGUAGAGAUGCGGAGGAAUACCGAUGGCGAAGGCAGCCUCCUGGGAUAACACUGACGUUCAUGCCCGAAAGCGUGGGUAGCAAACAGGAUUAGAUACCCCCGUAGUCCCUGUCUCUUAUAC
rnacentral:rRNA from 1 species